rnacentral:rRNA from 1 species
GGGGAAUAUUGCACAAUGGAGGCAACUCUGAUGCAGCAAUGCCGCGUGUGUGAAGAAGGCCUUAGGGUUGUAAAGCACUUUCAGACGUGAGGAAAAGCGAUGAGUUAAUAACU